AGCUGUUCUCGGCCUUUUGGCUAAGAUCAAGUGUAGUAUCUGUUCUUAUUAGCUUAAUAUCUGAUAUGUCCUCUCUCAGAGUCAUGGAACCAAC
rnacentral:snRNA from 1 species